AACCAUUUCACGAGUUUUGGUGAAAUUGCCUGAACAGUCCACCAACCUUGGCUCCUCUCAAAGGUCGAUAUACCUCUCUUGAAAUAUCUUCCUGGAUUGAAGUUGCUUGAGUCAUCAGCUCCUACAGUAAUUUCUCCAAUGGGAAGACACAACACCUUUCCAGGAAUGUUUCAUCAAUUUUGAUAAUUCGUCCUUGUACCACACUCGAUCCAACCUCUGAGUCAUAAUUCGUAAUAUAUUCCUCCACUAAUGACACAUUAAUUGAUGAUAAAUGAUCUGACAGGUGUAAAAAGUGGAACAACUGUGUAUUCCAAAAAUCUUUUAUUUUUUUUUUGGCAUCCAGCAAAUAUCCAACUUCAUCGGCUCUAUAUUGAUAACGAUUAUCAUAGAAGGUGGUUUUGAUGCACAUCUAGCUCUCACAUUUUGGCCACUAUCUUCUUUGUCUAUAGCUCACCUUAGACUUUCAAUUGCCAUGACGCUCCCCCUCUCAAACUCUUAACUAGAACUACUAUGCUGAAAAAUGUAAGAAACACAAGAAAUAGCAAUCUUAGAAAACAAUCAAGAACAAUAAUAUAGAAUGACCUCUAAUUGGUGCCCCACUCCUAUUCUCUG
rnacentral:lncRNA from 1 species